UGGGGAAUUUUGGACAAUGGGCGCAAGCCUGAUCCAGCCAUGCCGCGUGCGGGAAGAAGGCCUUCGGUUGUAAACCGCUUUCGGCCGGAACGAAAUCGCCCGGGUGAAUAGCCCGGGUGGAUGACGGUACCGGAAGAAGAAGCACCGGCUAACUACGUGCCAGCAGCCGCGGUAAUACGUAGGGUGCGAGCGUUAAUCGGAAUUACUGGGCGUAAAGCGUGCGCAGGCGGUCUCGUAAGACAGGUGUGAAAUCCCCGGGCUCAACCUGGGAACUGCGCUUGUGACUGCGAGGCUGGAGUGUGGCAGAGGGAGGUGGAAUUCCACGUGUAGCAGUGAAAUGCGUAGAGAUGUGGAGGAACACCGAUGGCGAAGGCAGCCUCCUGGGCCAGCACUGACGCUCAUGCACGAAAGCGUGGGGAGCAAACAGGAUUAGAUACCCUGGUAGUCCACGCCCUAAACGAUGACGACUAGGUUGUUGGGGUAGAAGUACCUUAGUAACG
rnacentral:rRNA from 1 species